rnacentral:rRNA from 1 species
GAUGAACGCUAGCGACAGGCUUAACACAUGCAAGUCGAGGGGCAGCAUAAAAGUAGCAAUACUUUGGUGGCGACCGGCGCACGGGUGAGUAACGCGUAUGCAACCUACCUAUCAGAGGGGAAUAACCCGGCGAAAGUCGGACUAAUACCGCAUAAAACAGGGGCACCGCAUGGUGAUAUUUGUUAAAGAAAUUCGCUGAUAGAUGGGCAUGCGUUCCAUUAGGUAGUUGGUGAGGUAACGGCUCACCAAGCCGACGAUGGAUAGGGGAACUGAGAGGUUGGUCCCCCACACUGGUACUGAGACACGGACCAGACUCCUACGGGAGGCAGCAGUGAGGAAUAUUGGUCAAUGGGCGGGAGCCUGAACCAGCCAAGUCGCGUGAAGGAAGAAGGAUCUAUGGUUCGUAAACUUCUUUUGCAGGGGAAUAAAGUGCAGGACGUGUCCUGUUUUGUAUGUACCCUGAGAAUAAGGAUCGGCUAACUCCGUGCCAGCAGCCGCGGUAAUACGGAGGAUCCGAGCGUUAUCCGGAUUUAUUGGGUUUAAAGGGUGCGUAGGUGGUUUGAUAAGUCAGCGGUGAAAGUUUGCAGCUUAACUGUAAAAAUGCCGUUGAAACUGUCGGACUUGAGUGUAAAUGAGGUAGGCGGAAUGCGUGGUGUAGCGGUGAAAUGCAUAGAUAUCACGCAGAACUCCGAUUGCGAAGGCAGCUUACUAAGCUACAACUGACACUGAAGCACGAAAGCGUGGGGAUCAAACAGGAUUAGAUACCCUGGUAGUCCACGCAGUAAACGAUGAUUACUAGCUGUUUGCGAUACACAGUAAGCGGCACAGCGAAAGCGUUAAGUAAUCCACCUGGG